rnacentral:rRNA from 1 species
GGUUUUUUGAUUUAAUAAAAAAUCUGGCCUGCUCUAUGAAUGUUUAAAUGGCCGCAGUAUAUUGACUGUGCUAAGGUAGCAUAAUAAUUAGUCUUUUGAUUGGGGACUGGAAUGAAAGGUUUGACAAAGGGGUGACUGUCUUAAGGUUAGAGGGUUGAAUUUGAUUUAAGUGUGAAAAAGCACUUAUUGUGCUGAGGGACGAGAAGACCCUAUUGAGUUUUAUACAUUUAUUAGUACGUGUUGAUUGAAUGGUUGGUUGGGUAUUGGUAGAAUGAAUUUUACUGGGGCGGUGUAGAAAGAGGAAAUCUUUUUAGAUAUUGGAUUGUUAGGCAUAAGGUAAAUAGGAUCCAAUUUAUAAGAAUUGAUAUGAGGAUUAAAUUACCAUAGGGAUAACAGCGUAAAGUUAUUGGAGAGUUCAUAUUGAUGAUAGGCUUUGCGACCUCGAUGUUGAAUUAGGAUGGCUGUUUGGUGGAGGAGCUUUAACAAGAGAGUCUGUUCGACUAGUAAUAUCCUACA